rnacentral:siRNA from 1 species
UUAACAGAUGUGCCGCCCCAGC